rnacentral:rRNA from 1 species
AAGUUCGGCUGAUCGUAGGGGUCGAGCCGGGACACUGAGAAGUGAUCCUUCCACAGGUGACGCUUCUUUAAGCCUUAGCAGCCCGAAAGGGUGGCCCUCUACGACUUGAUAAAUAAGAAGAGGUGCCUGAAAUGCUAGUCAGCAUCGCAGCUGGCAACACCGUCAAAUUGCGGGAACCCCCUAAAGACUUCGCUACCAAGCAGCUCUGGGAUAACCAAGCUGUGGCCAGGGUAAUGACCUCGGGUAUGGUAACAACGCGCAAGUAUGAACCUCCAGUACUUGGGGGGGAAGAUGGGUAAUCCCUGCAGCCAAGUCCUCACCACCCUCGUAAGGGGGUGUUGGAUGCUGUUCACAGGCCAAAUGGUGGUAGGGUCGAUCUGAUAGAGAUCGGCUUAAGAUAUGGUCGGGCCCCUUGGGAAACCUUGGGGGUAGUCACCACGCAGUCAACUGGAGAUUGAGAGCGAUAAAGUGCAAAGCUUCUCUAUCAUGGGCGACUGCAAGAUUGCUCAGGAGUGUAUUGUGGUUUUGCCUCGCUCGAGGUCGCCCGUCACACCUGUGUCCCUAGCAUGACACUUUAACUGUUCCGUAGGUGAACCUGCGGAAGGAUCAUUAACGAGUUAGGGUCUCUCAGGCCCAACCUCCCAACCCUUUGUUUACUAGACCCUCUGUUGCUUCGGCGGACCCGUCUCAAGCGGACCGCCGGAGGACCGCCCACCGCGGCGUGCGUCCUCUGGCCAGUGUCCGCCGAUAGCCCCUUCAAACUCUGGAACACCAUGAUUUUACUGCCUAAGUGAUUUUUUAUUCAAUUAAAAAGCAAAAACUUUCCACCACGGAUCUCUUGGUUUCUGGCAUCGAUGAAGAACGCAGCGAAAUGCGAUAAGUAAUGCGAAUUGCAGAAUUCCAGUGAGUCAUCGAAAUCUUUGAACGCACAUUUGCGCCCUUUGGUAUUUCCGAAGGGCAUGCCUGUUCGAGCGUCAUUAUCGCCCCCCUCAAGCCCCGGUGCUUUGGCGUUGGACGGUUUGUUAAGAGUGCCUACCCCCUCCUAAAGGCAAUGACGGCGGCCCUCGUGGAAGCCCCCGGUACACUGAGCUUCUUAACUGAGCACGUUAUCGGAUAAGGGCGCCCGGGGCACGGUCUUCUCCCCCCUUCGGGGAAAUUUUCUCAAGGUUGACCUCGGAUCAGGUAGGAAUACGCGCUGAACUUAAGCAUAUCAAUAAGCGCAGGAAAAGAAACCAACAGGGAUUGCCUCAGUAACGGCGAGUGAAGCGGCAACAGCUCAAAUUUGAAAUCUGGCCUCUCGGGGUCCGAGUUGUAAUUUGUAGAGGAUGUUUCGGGUACCGCCUCGGUUUAAAUUUCUUGGAACAGAAUGUCAAAGAGGGUGAGAAUCCCGUCUUGGACCGGCGGUAGGGCCUAUGUGAAACUCCUUCGAAUCAAGAGUCGAGUUGUAUUGGGAAUGCAGCUCAAAAUGGGUGGUAAAUUUCAUCUAAAGCUAAAUAUUGGCCAGAGACCGAUAGCGCACAAGUAGAGUGAUCGAAAGAUGAAAAGCACUUUGAAAAGAGAGUUAAACAGUAUGUGAAAUUGUUGAAAGGGAAGCGCUUGCAACCAGACUUGAGCGCGGCGGUUCCCCCUUGCUUCUGCUUGGGUUACUCCGCCGUGUCCAGGCCAACAUCGGUUCUGGGGGUCGGUCAAAGGCCUUGGGAAUGUAUCUACCCCAUCGGAGACUUAUAGACCAGGGGUGUCAUGCGACCCUCCCGGGACCCGAUGGAACGCGCUUCGGCUCGAUGUGGCAUCUUU